CGGCAAUGGGAGAAACUCUGACCGAGCAACGCCGCGUGAACGAUGAAGUAUUUCGGUACGUAAAGUUCUUUUAUUAGGGAAGAAUAAAUGAUGGAAAAAUCAUUCUGACGGUACCUAAUGAAUAAGCCCCGGCUAACUAUGUGCCAGCAGCCGCGGUAAUACAUAGGGGGCAAGCGUUAUCCGGAAUUAUUGGGCGUAAAGGGUGCGUAGGCGGUUAAAUAAGUUUAUGGUCUAAGUGCAAUGCUCAACAUUGUGAUGCUAUAAAAGCUGUUUAGCUAGAGUAAGAUAGAGGCAAGUGGAAUUCCAUGUGUAGUGGUAAAAUGCGUAAAUAUAUGGAGGAACACCAGUAGCGAAGGCGGCUUGCUGGGUCUUUACUGACGCUGAGGCACGAAAGCGUGGGGAGCAAACAGGAUUAGAUACCCUGGUAGUCCACGCCGUAAACGAUGAGUACUAAACGUUGGGUAAAACCAGUGUUGAAGUUAACACAUUAAGUACUCCGCCUGAGUAGUACGUACGCAAGUAUGAAACUUAAAGGAAUUGACGGGACUCCGCACAAGCGGUGGAUCAUGUUGUUUAAUUCGAAGGUACCCGAAAAACCUCACCAGGUCUUGACAUGCUUCUGCAAAGCUGUAGAAACACAGUGGAGGUUAUCAGUUGCACAGGUGGUGCAUGGUUGUCGUCAGCUCGUGUCGUGAGAUGUUGGGUUAAGUCCCGCAACGAGCGCAACCCUUAUUGUUAGUUACCAGCACGUAAUGGUGGGGACUUUAGCAAGACUGCCAGUGAUGAAUUGGAGGAAGGUGGGGACGACGUCAAAUCAUCAUGCCCCUUAUGACCUGGGCUACAAACGUGAUACAAUGGCUGUUACAAAGAGUAGCUGAA
rnacentral:rRNA from 1 species